AAGGCUUUAGCUUAAUUAAAGUAUCUGCUUUGCAUGCAGAAGAUGUGGGUUAGUACUCCGCAAGUCUUA
rnacentral:tRNA from 3 species